AUUGAACGCUGGCGGCAUGCUUUACACAUGCAAGUCGAACGGUAACAGGCCGCAAGGUGCUGACGAGUGGCGAACGGGUGAGUAAUGCAUCGGAACGUGCCCAGUCGUGGGGGAUAACGCAGCGAAAGCUGCGCUAAUACCGCAUACGAUCUAUGGAUGAAAGCGGGGGACCGUAAGGCCUCGCGCGAUUUGAGCGGCCGGUGUCAGAUUGGGUAGUUGGUGGGGUAAAGGCUCACCAAGCCAACGAUCUGUAGCUGGUCUGAGAGGACGACCAGCCACACUGGGACUGAGACACGGCCCAGACUCCUACGGGAGGCAGCAGUGGGGAAUUUUGGACAAUGGGCGCAAGCCUGAUCCAGCAAUGCCGCGUGCAGGAAGAAGGCCUUCGGGUUGUAAACUGCUUUUGUACGGAACGAAAAGGCUCUGGAUAAUACCUGGGGCUCAUGACGGUACCGUAAGAAUAAGCACCGGCUAACUACGUGCCAGCCGCCGCCGUAAAAC
rnacentral:rRNA from 1 species